UACGUAGGGGGCAAGCGUUGUCCGGAUUUACUGGGCGUAAAGAGCGCGUAGGCGGAACGUUAAGCGGGGCCGGAAAGCCCCCGGCUCAACCGGGGAAGGGGCCGCGAACUGGCGUUCUUGAGGGGGAGAGAGGAGAGCGGAAUUCCUGGUGUAGCGGUGAAAUGCGUAGAGAUCAGGAGGAACACCCAUGGCGAAGGCAGCUCUCUGGCUUCACCCUGACGCUGAGGCGCGAAAGCGUGGGGAGCGAACAGG
rnacentral:rRNA from 1 species